GACCUGGUUCAUCAGCAAUCGGAGAUCGAUUACGUGAUCGGGGAGGGCCGUCCGGGGAACUCUUGCCUGGAUCGUUCCGGACCUCCUGCUGCACCACCCGCAAUUAUCCGUAUUUCCGGGCUCGCAAGGCGAAGGUAAGGACAUGGUGUUUGCUGCAACGUUUCAUGGGGCAUAGUCUAUAAACCCUUCCUUCACCGUCGCCUCGCCGGUAUCAAGUCUAGGAGGAGAAGAUGCUGAAGGGGGGGACUUUGGAUGUGAGAUUGCUCCUCAUUGUAGAGACGAAGGGGAGAUGCCACUGCAGGCUCUGCUGUUCUUAGCAUCUUUGACUUUUUGUGGAAACUUUUCGCUAUGAUUAGAGUUGGUUCUCAAAUUACUCAUGGGGGAAUAGAGCAUUCACCGGAAGUGGAAGGAACUUGGUAUUGACACGAAGUACUUAUCCCCACACAUGCAAUCUUCUCAUUUCUGAGCAUACUGUGAUGCACAUCAAUAUCUAUGGGGGAAACAGAUUUAUUGUGCCUCCACCCUUCCAUUCCAGCAUUUUACUCACCAUCCAGGAUUAAGGAAUGGUUUAGUCGGUUUGAGUACCGACACAAAUGAAGGCGUUUCGUGUCCCAGAUAGCACUCAAUGAAAUCUUUUCCCAUUGUUCAUUUUGAUUACUAUUCAAAUUCUGCUUCGUGGAAUCAAAGAUGCAUAGACUAAAGUCACUGGUUGGCAAAGUUUAAAG